rnacentral:rRNA from 1 species
GACAGAGGUGCCAAGCGUUAGGCGGAAUUACUGGGCGUAAAGCGUGCGCAGGCGGUUCGUUAAGUCAGCUGUGAAAGCCCCGAGCUUAACUUGGGAAUUGCGGUUGAAACUGGCGGACUAGAAUCUGGCAGAGGGGGGUGGAAUUCCACGUGUAGCAGUGAAAUGCGUAGAGAUGUGGAGGAACACCGAUGGCGAAGGCAGCCCCCUGGGCUGAGAUUGACGCUCAGGCACGAAAGCGUGGGGAGCAAACAGG